rnacentral:rRNA from 1 species
ACGUAGGGUGCAAGCGUUGUCCGGAAUUAUUGGGCGUAAAGAGCUCGUAGGCGGUUUGUCGCGUCGAAUGUGAAAACCCGGGGCUCAACCCCGGGCCUGCAUUCGAUACGGGCAGACUAGAGUUCGGUAGGGGAGUCUGGAAUUCCUGGUGUAGCGGUGAAAUGCGCAGAUAUCAGGAGGAACACCGGUGGCGAAGGCGGGACUCUGGGCCGAUACUGACGCUGAGGAGCGAAAGCGUGGGGAGCGAACAGGAUUAGAUACCCUGGUAGUCCACGCCGUAAACGUUGGGCGCUAGGUGUGGGGUUCCUUCCACGAACUCCGUGCCGCAGCUAACGCAUUAAGCGCCCCGCCUGGGGAGUACGGCCGCAAGGCUA